UGAAGGGAGUUUCAAUAUCUCUUUCCGGCCACGCCAGGAUUAUCCGAUUCCCUGGAAAGUCUCCGUCAGCUUCAACGUAUCUCAGAAGGAUCGAGUCAUACUCGCUCUGUUCAAAAGAUACUUGGGCUGCGGCACUCUUCGUGGCAGGCCGGAUGGCGUUUGGUAUUACGAGGUAACCAACCUUAACGCUGUCGUCGAGAACGUAAUACCUUUCUUUGAAAGGUUUCCGUUUCUGUCGGCCAAGAAGAAGAGAGACUUUGCCAAGUUCAAGCAGAUCGUAGCCCUGAUGAAAAAGGGUGCGCAUCUGACAAAGAAUGGUAUCCGGCAAAUACUCGAGAUUCGCGAAGACAUGAACGAUGGCGGCAAGCGCCGUCACGCUCACGUUGAUAUCCUCGCUUCAUUGGAUUGAAUCCUCAGAGACUACACGCCAAGCGUCACCACAAGGGUGACGAUGAUAUAGUCCGAUCUUCAUCGCGAGAUGAAGGAUCGGCGGAAGUAAUUCCGACGAUCGCGAAUGAAUCAAACGAUUCAAUCGUUAACACAAAUGAACGGUCCUAAGGUUGAUUGAAUGCAGCCUUAGAGAAACUUGGCUAUAUGCUGGAAAGUCUGAGUAUCCCACAUUACUCGCCUCGAGAAAGGCAGUGAAAAUAUGUUGGGUGCAGAUAAUCAGCAGGAAAGGCUAAGAACAGUCGGAUGGAUCGUAGGCUUUGUUGAUGGAGAAGGUUGCUUCUCGGUAACCAUUCAGAAAGCAACAACGGCUACGGGCUGGCAAGUCUUCCCUGAGUUCGUCGUAACUCAGGGAGAAAAAAGCUUGCAAGCAUUACAUGAUCUCAAGGAGUUCUUUGAAUGUGGAAAGGUCUUCGUUAAUCGCCGCCACGACAAUCACAAGGAGCAUCUUUAUCGCUUCUGUGUGAGAUCGAUUGCGGAUUUGAGAGACAAGAUCAUUCCUUUCUUUCGAGAAAAUCAGCUCAGAACAGCUAAGCGGGAGGACUUUGAAAAGUUCGCCUGCGUGCUGGGGUUGAUCGGAGAAAGAAAACAUCUGAACUCUGAAGGCAUCAUGGAGAUUGCGAAGAUCGCGCAAACGAUGAAUCGCAAGAAACCAUCCAGAUUCUUAGAAUCCUCAGAGACUACACGCCAGGCAUCUUCCAAGCGGAGAUGAAGAUAUAGUCCGUGCUGCAUGGCGACAUGCAGAGGUUGGCAGAAAUGACCAGCCCGUCAACGCAAGUUGACGUAACAAUGUCAGAGCGAAAUUCCUUGUCGGGUAAGUUCCGACCUGCACGAAUGGCGUAACGAUCUGGGAGCUGUCUUAACGAGAGACACAGCGAACUUGUAGUACCGGUGAAGAUGCCGGUUUCCCGCAUCUAGACGGAAAGACCCCGUGCACCUUUACUACAACUUGAUAGUGGGUUCGGGCAAACGAUGCGCAGCAUAGAUGGGAGGCUUUGAACCGAGGCUUUUGGGUUUCGGGGAGCCACAGGUGAGAUACCAUCCUUCGUUUGUCUGGACUCUAACCUCGAGCCGUAAUCCGGUUCAGGGACACUAUCAGGCGGGUAGUUUGACUGGGGCGGUCGCCUCCCAAAUUGUAACGGAGGCGCUCGAAGGUUGGCUCAGGCUGUUUGGAAAUCAGCCGUAGAGUGUAAACGCAUAAGCCAGCUUGACUGUGAGACAAACAAGUCGAACAGGUACGAAAGUAGGAGUUAGUGAUCCGGCGGUUCUGUAUGGAAGGGCCGUCGCUCAACGGAUAAAAGGUACGCCGGGGAUAACAGGCUGAUCCUGCCCAAGAGUUCACAUCGACGGCAGGGUUUGGCACCUCGAUGUCGGCUCAUCGCAUCCUGGGGCUGAAGAAGGUCCCAAGGGUCCGGCUGUUCGCCGGUUAAAGCGGUACGUGAGCUGGGUUUAGAACGUCGCGAGACAGUUCGGUCCCUAUCUGGUGUGGGCGCAGCAGGAUUGAGGGAAUCUGUCCUUAGUACGAGAGGACCGGGAUGGAUCCACCUCUAGUGUACGAGUUAUGGCGCCAGCCGUAACGCUCGGUAGCUAAGUGGAGCAUGGAUAAACGCUGAAUGCAUCUAAGCGUGAAGCCAGACCCGAGAUUAAUCCUGCCCGUGAGACUCGUGGUAGACCACCACGUUGAUAGGCUGGAAAUGUAAGUGCAGUAAUGUGCUCAGUUGACCAGUACUAAUCAGUCCCUAGGCUUGACC
rnacentral:rRNA from 1 species